AGCAGCCGCGGUAAUUCCAGCUCCAAUAGCGUAUAUUAAAGUUGUUGCAGUUAAAAAGCUCGUAGUUGAAUUUCGGGAUCAAUAUGUUGGUCGUGCCUUGGUACGUACUGGCAUUAUUGGUUCCUACCUUCUGAAGAACCUCGAUGUCAUUAAUUUGGUGUCUUGGGGAAUCAGGACUGUUACUUUGAAAAAUUAGAGUGUUUAAAGCAGGCUCGCGCUUGAAUACAUUAGCAUGGAAUAAUGAAAUAGGACGUUUGAUUCUAUUUUGUUGGUUUCUAGGAUCGACGUAAUGAUUAAUAGGGAUAGUUGGGGGCAUUAGUAUUCAAUUGUCAGAGGUGAAAUUCUUGGAUUUAUUGAAGACUGACUACUGCGAAAGCAUUUGCCAAGGAUGUUUUCAUUAAUCAAGAACGAAAGUUAGGGGAUCGAAGACGAUCAGAUACCGUGUAGUCUUAACCAUAAACUAUGCCGACUAGGGAUCGGACUGUAUUAGUUUUUAAUUUUAGUACGUACUAUACGUCGG
rnacentral:rRNA from 1 species